rnacentral:sRNA from 1 species
AUGUAAUGAUUGUAGUGCUCUUACCAUUUCGUGAUUAUCUUUGUUUCUCAUUUCUCAAUUAUCAAUCUUGAAAGAGAAAAUCUUUAGAAAAGCUAAAGCUUUACGGAAAAAUCUUGACGAGUGAAAUCGUAAUGCUAAAAUUUGAUAUAGAUUUUUAUCGGUUACAAAUUAAAUCACAAGAUACUACAAAGAAAAAUAUACAUUGAUAGCGUAACGGCCUAACACAGAUUACUCAAGAUUAACUGUAAUUUUUGUUUUCAUAUAAAUAACAUUUUAUAAACGUUAGGACAUAAUUUGGCUACUAUAACAUUUUAUUAACACUAAUAUAUAAUUUUAUUACGCGGAAAACUAUAAUAACUUGUUCCGCUAAACUUAGCCAAAAUUUAGUCUUCUGCCUAUAUUAACGAAAAUAAUUCACUCUAUCAUUAACACUUACACAUAUUUUUCCCUUUCACCCAAAACUAUCUCUUCCUA